ACCAAGACCAGUUCCCACCCUUUGGAGCUUUGAGUGGAGCAAACAGACCAAAACAAAAACAGAACAAAACUGAUCAUCAUCAAAGCCAUGAAGGAAAGGAAUAGGGUGAGAUGGUGGGUAAGAGAACUUGUGUGAGGGGCGCUACUUUAGUAAGUGUGGCCUGAGGAGAAAGACCUCUCUGAGAAGAGGACAUUUUGAGUGAAGAGAGGCUGAGUCUUGCAAAAGCUCCAACAGAAGAACUGGUUUCAGAUGUUGGAGGCACGGAAACAACCCCAAGCACGGCUUGAACCUGGUAAAACACGGGGAGAGGGAACUGAGAUUGGUCAGCAAGGAGGGAUCACGAUAAGCCACAGAGAAGAGAUGCCGAUGCUGAUCUCCAGAUACCUGCUGGGUGUCUGCACAUCAUCUUAGCAACUCAGGAGGCUCUCACAGCAUCAGCCUCUUGAAGUUCGAAAAUGUCUGCAUCACCAGGGACCUGGGUUGAUCCACAUCCCAGAAUAUGCCAGGCUUCAGAGAUGCCCAGCUCUGUUGUUCAAAGAGUUUUAUUAAAAAUUGGUGAGGAGAGAAAAGAAGUCUCUGAGGGCCUGUCUGAUUUCAUUAUCUCUGACAGAGCACACAGAUGGAGCAGAGCCCCAGAGGGCCAAGGAGGCUGCCCUCCGCGGCGCUGGGUGAUGCGCAGGCCUCUGGAGCCGCGGAUACUGAAUCCAGAUGUCCUCGUCUGCUGGCAUCUCGCACAGAUCCCUCAGACGCUCAGUGUGUAACCUGGCGUCGACUUCUCAAUCAUCAAUCCCCAGCAUUCUAGUCGGAAGAUGGACACCCAUAGAUCCCCAAAUUUUCAUUUGUUUCAGUAAUGUAACUUCUACUGUUGCUCCUUGCAUUAGCAAAACUCUGUUCUCUAGUGGUUCUCUCUGUAAGUUCUACUCCCCUGCGGCUUUCAUGGAUAGCCUGAAUCUAGCAUUCUGCAAAGAGCGGGUGCUACCAUUGAGAUUGCAAUCCAGACAACAGUUGAAUCCUCUAAGGUCCGGACACAGACCACACAAGAUCCUUAAAGGCAGGGACACACCAGAUGCCACCGACUAAAAUGGAAGAAGAGACUGGCUUGUAUGUUCUGUAAGAAGAAGCCCUCGGUCAUGUAAAGAU